CAACAGGAAAGAAAAUGUGGUUCUGCGGCAAUCCCUGCUUUAGAGUUCCCCGGAACUCAGACAACAGCACGGAGUGUUCCCGGAAAAAGGGUUGGGUACAGGGAGAACAGGAAGUGGAAACGUUGGAAACCUCACAAGAAAACAGUCCUGAAAUUUUCAGAAUGCUUUGAAGACAAAAGAGUUUCAGAUUCAUUUAUUCAGCUAAAUGUGUAAUCAGGUGCUUCUCCAAUCCCACACAUCUUGUUUAUGAACAAUUUGAGACCCAUUUGGUUCUCUCUCCCCACUGGAUUCACAACCAGGCAUUUCCACUGACUUCCUAAGUAGUCAUGAUUUGCAGAACUAUGACAACCAAGAAUUAACUGGUACUAGCCACAGAUUUGUUAUGCUGGUGUCAGAGUGAGAUAUUAAGUCCACUGGCAAUGAAUUUUUGAGGCCAAGUUUUUUCUAACUAGGUGUAUAUGUAAUGAAUUGACUAUUUGGUGUUGGAUUAUAUGUUUGUUCUCUACUGGAUAGAAUCAGAACUUCUCAACUGUGUAUCAUAAACCCUAGGCUCCUAACAGCUAAUGGAGAUUCUCCUUUACCUUAAGUAGUGCAGUCUUGUGUAUUUGGGAAUGAGGAUUUAAAUUUUCUCACUGCUGCUGCCAUGAAGAUCAGAGUGGCCAUGGUGUGCACAUUAGCAAAGGAACUGAUCAUUUAGUUAUUACAGGAUUAUUAUUCCGCAGCACUCCCCUUCCAACUGCUUAUUGGACUGACACUGAAAAUGGUGGUACCACCCAGCCAUACUUCUGAUCAGCAGCAAGGAGGGAAGGGAGAUUGGAGUCCACCUAAUCAGCAGCUUCCAAAGAGGAGGCUAAAAUAUUAAUUCUGUCUCCACUUAUGUCAAGAAACAUUAUUUUGGCAAAAUCAAAUCAGACAACCCCACUGGAAUCAAAGGCAAAGAGCAGAAAUGUGUGUUAAAUAAUCCCAUGAUGGGUGAGAGAAAGAUGAUCCACAGGGAGUGUGUAAAGAAAGAAUGAAAAAGAUAAAGGUUGAACCUUGAGCAGGGUUUCGUUUUAAAGGGUCUAAAACACUGAAGCCUUGUGACACUAUAAAAGUAAAAUGUGAUAUGUGUUUCCUCAUUGGGAUUACGGGUUACUAUUAAAAAUGUCUCUUGUCGCAUAAAGCUAUAGUGUUGGUACUGCAAGGCUAAUGUUUUGUUUUUUUGUUUUUUUUUUUGGGGGGGGGGGGGAGGGAGUAAAUUCCUUCUUUGAGCUGACAGUAAACUUUGUAGCCCUUGUGGUAAACACAGUGGCUUA